rnacentral:rRNA from 1 species
UACGGAGGGUGCGAGCGUUGUCCGGAAUCACUGGGCGUAAAGGGCGCGUAGGCGGCGCGGGAAGUCAUCGGUGAAAGUUCAGGGCUCAACUCUGAAUCGGCCGGUGAUACUCUCGUGCUCGAGCACUGUAGAGGCAGGUGGAAUUCCGGGUGUAGCGGUGGAAUGCGUAGAUAUCGGGAGGAACACCAGUGGCGAAGGCGGCGAUCUGGGAAGAUACUGACGCUGAGGUGCGAAAGCGUGGGGAGCAAACAGG